AUUGAACGCUGGCGGCAGGCCUAACACAUGCAAGUCGAGCGGAUGAGGGGUGCUUGCACCCUGAUUCAGCGGCGGACGGGUGAGUAACGCCUAGGAAUCUGCCCGAUAGUGGGGGACAACGUUUCGAAAGGAACGCUAAUACCGCAUACGUCCUACGGGAGAAAGUGGGGGCUCUUCGGACCUCACGCUAUCGGAUGAGCCUAGGUCGGAUUAGCUAGUUGGUGGGGUAAAGGCUCACCAAGGCGACGAUCCGUAACUGGUCUGAGAGGAUGAUCAGUCACACUGGAACUGAGACACGGUCCAGACUCCUACGGGAGGCAGCAGUGGGGAAUAUUGGACAAUGGGCGAAAGCCUGAUCCAGCCAUGCCGCGUGUGUGAAGAAGGUCUUCGGAUUGUAAAGCACUUUAAGUCGGGAGGAAGGGCUGCAGGUUAAUACCUUGCAGCCUUGACGUUACCGACAGAAUAAGCACCGGCUAACUUCGUGCCAGCAGCCGCCGUAAAAC
rnacentral:rRNA from 1 species